UACAGAGGUCUCAAGCGUUGUUCGGAUUCAUUGGGCGUAAAGGGGUGCGUAGGCGGCGCGGUAAAGUCGGGUGUGAAAUCUCGGGGCUUAACUCCGAAACUGCAUUCGAUACUGCCGUGCUUGAGGACUGGAGAGGAGACUGGAAUUUACGGUGUAGCGGUGAAAUGCGUAGAUAUCGUAAGGAAGACCAGUGGCGAAGGCGGGUUCU
rnacentral:rRNA from 1 species